CAGCAGCCGCGGUAAUACAGAGGGUGCGAGCGUUAAUCGGAUUUACUGGGCGUAAAGCGUGCGUAGGCGGCUAAUUGAGUCGGAUGUGAAAUCCCCGAGCUUAACUUGGGAAUUGCAUUCGAUACUGGGAAGCUAGAGUAUGGGAGAGGAUGGUAGAAUUCCAGGUGUAGCGGUGAAAUGCGUAGAGAUCUGGAGGAAUACCGAUGGCGAAGGCAGCCAUCUGGCCUAAUACUGACGCUGAGGUACGAAAGCAUGGGGAGCAAACAGGAUUAGAUACCCCCGUAGUCCCUGUCUCUUAUAC
rnacentral:rRNA from 1 species